UUUGUGCCAUCCAAAAAUCAGAGAGAAAGACCUUUGGGUCGUGGAGAUAUAAAAGAUGCAAGUUAGGGUGUCUAGAGAGAAAAACGUGAAGAAGAAGAGGGUCUUCUUCUUGGGUUUUUUGUUUUCAUAUCUUUCCUCCCUCCAUCUUGAGUUUCCUGAGAGCGUCUCAAAUUUGAAACUCCUCUUUUUACUUUCCAUCUUUGGAAGAGUCCAAAUCAAGAAGAAGGAGGCACCUGAUCAACCAUCAAAGAAGGAUCAGCGCAGUACUAGCAUACUGUGCUGAUUUCCUGAAGCAGGACUUCUGAUCGAGAUUCGUGGGCUCGUGUGGACAACUCCUAGAGGCCGGAUGCAUGUGCGGCUUGCAACAUCAUUCUUAAGCCCGGAUCAGUGAGGUUAGAGCGUCUAACUUGCAAGGUAAUAGAUCUGAUCUAUUGUUU
rnacentral:lncRNA from 1 species